AUUUUGAGCGAGAUAAAUUCUCGGGAUGGCCUAUUUAUAGGGGAAGUGCUGCCGAAUUUUCUGUAGAAUUUAAUGAUUAGUUGGAAAGAAUGGCUCAAGUGUCCUUAACUAAUGUUUGGUAUUCGUUGGCGUAUUUGUAGACCUUGGGGAGCCCGAGGCGUAGAUUGGAAAUUUACUUUAGAUUGGCUAUUUUGGAAGUGCGUAAGAGGUACAGACGCACAGCCUGGUGAUCCACCUGUUUAGGACACCCUUUCUGCUAUUCGGAGUGCUCCUCUCUUUCCGGAGCUUAUACUUUUGGUAUAUAUAUUUUUAUUAGUGCAUUUGUAUAUAUUCGUUCAUGGGUACGGCGGGGGCCCUGUCCCGUCAUAUGAUUCUGUCGGUCUGUUUAGAGGUCUGUGGACAUGUUUGUGGGUUAGGGUCUUUCUGUAUGGAUGUAUGUACAUGUCGUUUGGGCGAUCCCAUACGCCGAGGCGGCCGGUCCGCAUAUGUUGUUUGGGCGAUCCUAUACGCCGAGGCGGCCGGUCCGCAUAUGUUUAUAUAUUGCUUGGUUAGCCCUG